UUAUUUAAAUGAUCUCAUUUUAUUGUGUUUCCUAAAAAUAGUUGAUCAAAUUUAAAACAAGAUGCGACCUAGGCCUGUAUAGAAUAAAGAAUUCGUGUGCGUGAGUCAUCUCGUUGAUGCAAAUCUAGACCUCAAGUUAAAACACAAGAACUUUGUAGCUCUAGCUUUAAAGCUUGUAUGGUUUGGUGAGAUGGUAGACAAGAUGAGAAACUUUUCUUUUUUGUGCCAGAUUUUCGCUGUAUGGUGGACUGUGUUUAAACUUUGCCAUUUGAUGCCUGGCUUGAUUUCUGGUGUCGCCACUUUGACUGUUUUUGUUGGAACUUUUAUUCUAUGGAUAUAAAAAUAAACAUUUGAUACAAGACACCUAUCAUAAAAACAGACAGACACAGGAAACUCUAGCAAUCUAAUCAUUAAAUAAAAUACAACCUUUUCGUGUGAUGAUCGAGUGUAAUUGGUUUACAUGAACAGGAAACAUUAAACAAUCAGAUGACAAACCCUUUGGAUUCUCUAUGACUGUGAUCCUCGUCUUGAUCCAUCAACAGAUUUGUCAUUACAAGAUGCAGAAACAAGUUCUUUUGGUAUUCUUCAGCACAAAGUGAACUAUCUUUUCACUAAUUUGUACUAAGUAAAGGAUUCAUCACUUUUAUAAGGAAUGGCUAUGGCAGUGAAAAAAAAAAAAAAACAACAACAUCAAAGCAUUGAUCUACACAUCAAACAGACUUCGUUGUGGAUUGAUACAAAUGGUAUAAUUUUGGAGAGACUAGGUAGACUUUCAUCUUGCCAGGGUCUUUAAGCACAGUGCAAGCAAACAUGUUCAGUUUGUGCUUUAUGGCUUUUAUCAGAAAGCCAAGACUUUUCUCUUCCUCUUUGUGAACUGUCAAGCUGUAACACUGAGAUGAAUCAACCCCAUUGUAAAAUAAAGGUCCAAGCCUUGGAGGGAAGUCAUAAAAGCAAAGAAAUAUUUGGUCCCUGUGCAAUGUGGAUGCUUAUUAUUAUGAUUAUUAUGACAUACAUUUGGCAAAUGAACCAAUAGAAAUGAAACUUAAGACAGGCAUGGAUAAAAAAAAUGUAUUUGUAAGUCUCUUGAGAUCAGGAAAUAAGAACAUGCCAGCCAGAAUUUAGCAAAUUGAAGAGUUUGUUUGUAAUAAGGUUCACCAAAAGUUCAUUGUGUAUUUCUUCUAUAAGUUUUCUUAAAUUCCAUUUGUAUGUUGUUUUUU